rnacentral:rRNA from 1 species
AACGAACGCUGGCGGCAAGCUUAACACAUGCAAGUCGAGCGCCCCGCAAGGGGAGCGGCAGACGGGUGAGUAACGCGUGGGAAUCUACCCAUCUCUACGGAAUAACGCAUGGAAACGUGUGCUAAUACCGUAUACGUCCUUCGGGAGAAAGAUUUAUCGGAGAUGGAUGAGCCCGCGUUGGAUUAGCUAGUUGGUGGGGUAAAGGCCUACCAAGGCGACGAUCCAUAGCUGGUCUGAGAGGAUGAUCAGCCACACUGGGACUGAGACACGGCCCAGACUCCUACGGGAGGCAGCAGUGGGGAAUAUUGGACAAUGGGCGCAAGCCUGAUCCAGCCAUGCCGCGUGAGUGAUGAAGGCCCUAGGGUUGUAAAGCUCUCUCACCGGUGAAGAUAAUGACGGUAACCGGAGAAGAAGCCCCGGCUAACUUCGUGCCAGCAGCCGCAGUAACAC